AACGAGGCCGACCUGCGGCUGAGUUACCUGCGGAGGGAUCAUUAUAGAGUUUUCUAAACUCCCAACCCAUGUGAACUUACCUUUUGUUGCCUCGGCAGAAGUUAUAGGUCUUCUUAUAGCUGCUGCCGGUGGACCAUUAAACUCUUGUUAUUUUAUGUAAUCUGAGCGUCUUAUUUUAAUAAGUCAAAACUUUCAGCAACGGAUCU
rnacentral:misc_RNA from 1 species